rnacentral:rRNA from 1 species
UAACCUUUAGCCAUUAAACAAGUAUUAAAGGCAACGCCUGCCCAGUGAAUAAUUAAACGGCCGCGGUACCCUAACCGUGCAAAGGUAGCAUAAUCAUUUGUCUAUUAAUUGUAGACCUGUAUGAAAGGCAAAAUGAGGGUUUAACUGUCUCUUAUAGUAAAUCAAUUAAACUGAUCUUCUAGUCAAAAAGCUAGGAUAACCACAUAAGACCAGAAGACCCUGUGAAGCUUAAACUAAACUGUUAAACCAUAUAAUAAUUACUUUCGGUUGGGGCGACCUUGGAAAAAAAAAGAACUUCCAAACACAGUGACCAUAAACCACCACAUACGGCCUACAAGCCUACAAACUUUUUAGACCCAGCAAUGCUGAUAAAUGAACCAAGUUACUCCAGGGAUAACAGCGCCAUCUUCUUUAAGAGCCCAUAUCAAAAAGAAGGCUUACGACCUCGAUGUUGGAUCAGGACAUCCUAAUGGUGCAGCCGCUAUUAAAGGUUCGUUUGUUCAACGAUUAACAGU